rnacentral:lncRNA from 1 species
GGAUCUUAAGAAGGGAUAUUCUUCUUCGGCAGCUUCGGCAAUCAUCGAUGACUGUUUCUUUUUGGGAUCGGAAUUCAAUCAUGUUUUAUAUGAUCAUUGUGGUAGAGAUAGUAAUCAAGUAGCGCAUGAACUAGCUAAGUUAGCAAAGUCUUCCCCCCCCUAGCUGUUGGAUGGACUCAGCUCCUCCUGAGAUUAUCCCAGCU